CUUUGCUCCUGUCAAAGGAUGGGUACUAAAUAAAGGAAAUAAUUUAGUCUUUGGUUAUCUAGCAGGAGAGGGAUUAUCAUGCUAGACUGGAGUACCUUGAAGUCAGCUCAGUUUACAGUAUCCCAUCUGCUGUGCUCUAUAAUGGUGUUCAGAUUAUGAUAAGAUGUAUAUUUCUGUGUUAAAGUUAAACUAAUAACAAAAAUAAAUAGAUAGCAAAAAAAAUCAACAUGUUUUAACUUUACUAUUAUUUCAUCAAGCAAUAAUGAACUGGGAAUUUGGCCAGUAUAUUAAAAACAUAGCCAAUAAAUCCUACAUUAUUUUAUAAUUAAGCACAUAUACAUAUAUGGACUGCACAGAAAAACAGUGAAAUAAUUGAUCCAUGUAUGUAAUUACUGGUGUACCAAUAAAACCAAAAUGUUUUCUUGGAAGAUAGUACAACUCUGAGUUAGGACUUAAACAGUAACUUACUGGGUUACUUCUGAGAGAAGAACAGUGAACUAUUUCAAAUAUGCUGGACAUGUUCUUCAGGAAAGGAAAAAUUUUUUAUUAUUUACACUAAUAUAUAAGGUCUCCCCUUACAUAGGCUUGCCUCACUUCAGCCAACUGAAGUAAAGGUCUAAAGCCUGAGCCAUUUCAGGCAAACUGCAAAGAGGAAGAGGGGGGUCUUACCUGUGUUGUCAUCCUCUGGAGUCAGGAUAUCAAAGAGUUUUCUUAAGGAUGACCAUAAAACUGUGGCUUUCACUACAGCACCCAUUGCAUUGCUGUUGCUCUCAGGAGAACAAAUUUAUUCUCCACAGCCACACCAUCUUGUAAACUGUUAUGACAAGACAAACCUUUCUCAUGCCACGAGAGAGAGAGUGAACUGUACAUCCUGUUGGUAACAUAUAGAAGUGAUCAAUUUCUGUAAGUACACACUUAUUUAAUACAUAUAUACUUAAAUAAGAAGGAUCAUAAAGACAUGUGUAGUAGAUCCACUGAUUGUAGUCCCUAAAGCCAUGGUUUGAUGUGCAGUGGUGCCACCCCAAGUCACUCACUUCUGUAGCUGUAGCUGCUUGUGGAGGCAACACAGUAAAGCAGAUCAGCAGCUCAAUUUAAUUAAAUUUAACUGUUUUCCACACUAUUUUUGCUAACUCAAGUAAUUAUCCACACUCUGUAUGACCCACGUACAGCUAUAUACCAGUAUGUAGAAUUGAUGCAAAAAGGCUGAGGAUUGGAAUACCAACAAUAUCUUCACUUGGCAGUGGCACUACAUGGUAUACUUGUCCCUGAGGUACCAUUGGAAACUCACAAAUUUGUUUUCAGUGUAAAUGGAAAACAAAUAUUAAAAAAGACCCUUUUUAGGUACACAAAAGAGCUUUGUAGUUUAGACUCUGAAAUGGACUUGACCUUCUGCCAGAGAACUUGCCUGUGGACAUGAGCAGUCUUGCAAUUACUGGCUGUUCCAUUUUGUCUGAAAAUACAAUGUUGUAGGGAAUGUUGCAGAGAUACGUUUCUUAAGUUUGUAAAGUAGUUGCAUGAGAAAAGCCAGACAGGCAAGAGGGGUUGGAAUGAAAAGCAAAAACACUCAAAAAGGACUGAAGCUAUUAAGGCAUAACAUGCUAUAUUAUGUAUACUGUUUUGUUUCUUAGAAAUGGACUUGCAUGUAUUUGCAAAUACUAUUUACUUACUAUACUACAGUGAGGACACUUGUCUCUUUACUAAUUUCACUCGAGUUUCAACUUUCCUGUGACUUCUUACAUUUCCCAGGUGCUGGAGAAGUGAUUCCCCUGCAGCCCAUUGUGAAGACCAUGGUGAGGCAGGCUGUCCCCCUGCAGCCCACAGAGGUCCACAGUGGAGCAAAUACCCACCAUGGAGCAGAUAUCCCAUAGAGGAACUCACAACAGAGCAGGGGAAUGCCUGAAGGAGGCUGUGACCCCUUGGGAAGCCCAUGCUGGAACAUGCUCCUAGCAGGACCUGUGGCCUCAUGGAGAGAGGAACCCAUGCUGGAGCAGGUGAGGAGGGGAGUGAUAGAAAGACUUCUGUGGGCAUCUGGUGUCUAGCCAGAUUCAACCCACCUCGGUCAGUAAGAAGACAUUUGGAAAGAGCUGAAUCAGUGGAACUGAAUGCAGUGUUUCCAAUUCUUCCUGGCAAGUGAAGGAAUAAAGAAGUAAAGAAUGAAGUCAGAAUCACACUAUGGGAAUACCAUCAUAUUUUUGUAAUUAAUUCCAUUCAAGAAAAUCUUAAUUGAAUAUUUUAGAGUUAAGAUAACAAUGCUGUUAAACAGCAACACAAUAUGAUGAAGUCAACAAAACAUGACUGUGAUAAUGUAAAGAAAAAUUCAAAUACAUUAAUUUGCCCAUUAGCCUUAUCCUAUUCCCUUUGGAUUUUAUUUUCUGUGCUUUAUUUUUUAACCUCAGAGCUGCAUUCAUGUAUUAUUAAAUCACUAACAACUGUUAUUUAAAAAUCUUGGCUUUCUGAGCCCAGUAAGUAAUCUGGAUGAGCGAUCUACCUCCCUAGGGGAAUUUUCCUAUGAAGAAGCUGGUAUGACCUCCACUCAAACAGUUUGCAUGCAUAAUUAUAUUUCUGAUGGACUCUAAUUGUAAACAUAAGAUGAAAAUAAUUUGUAGUGAAUUUUGUCUGGAAAUUUGACCCUUUACAUUUUUUUUUCUUUAAUUUUACCUUACCCAUGUUAGUAAGCAAAUAAUGCAUUUUUGUGCCAUGGAUAUUCAAAUUAAUCAAAUGACUAUUAAAUUAUGCACUUGACAUCCUUACAGAUAGCAUAUGCCUGCAUUAUUUGGCAGAAGUCAAAUGUACAAAUAUGUACGCUGUGGAAUGCUCCAUAUCUGUGUACAGUUAAACCAACAUGAGGACAGUGGUUAUACUGUUCUAGGCCUGUGUAACCACACAGUUUGGAAUCUUUGAAUAAAUUGCUGAAUGAACCUCAUUAGGAAUUAUAUGUAUGAGGUUUACAGAUGCUCCCUUUAUAAAUACUUAUAGCUGCCACAUCCGCAUUCAGACCUUUAGUAGGUUCCAGGUAGCAAUGUAAAUACACUAGUCCUAAGUAAAAAAUAUCCAUCCGUUGAAAAUUUUGGCAUCUAGCAAUCUCUGGUAAUGUGCAAAACCCCAAGCCAGCCAGCCUGUGCCUUUCUUUUUUAAUUCCUCCCCUGUGAUUUGACAGAUCUUCAGGUAAAGUGCAGAAGAGUUGAUGGAGACACUGACAGCUCUAUAACUUUGCUCAGCCACUCUGAGGUUCAUAGAGCCCAGCACAGACUGGAGUAAAUGUCUACUCAUUGUAAAACCUUCCCAGGUUUGAGAAAAAAAGGGUAAUAAACCUGAAUAAGGAAUUACAAAUGAGCUGGGAGAGGAUCUCAGUGACUUGGGACCUUCAUUCUCUGGAAGAGUUUUACAUUGUCCUAGAGGACUUCCUUUUAUUGUGCUGUUAGCAACUGGGAAGACUCUCCUGGCUGGAUGCUUGUUUAACUUGGAGGGCUAAAGCUAUUUUGUUCUGUAGUAAGUUUGUAAAUUAGGCAUAUAAUCUUCAGCCUAUAUUUGCCAAUGUAAAUCAAAGGACCAGGUAUUUCCAUAGGAUUUUGGCAUUCUAUAGUUCUCUUUCUAACCUAUAUGACUACUGACAGUGGCUUCCUAUUGCUACUGAGCACUGUCAAAUGGAAAGGAAGUACCAAGCUGACACAUGGCAAAUGAAUUAUCUUUUUAUAAAAGCUCAUAAUAGAGAUAAUUGAAAUGCAGAACAAUGUCAUCACAGUCACUUCUGAACAUAGGAAAAUGGAAUAAUGCUUUCUGGAACAACAAAGGUAUCUUUGUGCUCUUAGAUUAAAUUGCUGAACUAACUAAAUAUAUUUAAACAGGAACUGCUUCUAGACUGUAACUUUAAUGCCAGUUUUCAAAUGAGGAUAUAUUUUUAGACACAGUUCAUGAAUUGCUAAACCCAAGAUUUUCAAUUGGAAAUGCAAAGCUGCUGCUCCAACCGUCUGCUAUAGGUAAUUGUGAUUAAAACAGAAUAGGCAAUGGUACAAGCAUAACAGCUGCAUCUGUUUAGAGUUCUUCCAAAACCAGUAUUGUGACAACUGAAGUAAUGUAUGUGCAUAUGUAUUUCAUCCCAUGCUGCAAAAAUUAAUUUAUUAUUUGUGAUAUUAUUGCUUAUAUAAUCUCCAUCCUAAACCAGGACUCUACAGUCAUGUGCUGAUAUAUAUGGUAAAUGGGAUACAGACAGAAGGAAGACUACAAAGAGAUAUUAAAAUAAUAAUGAUCUACAUGCUUGGUUUCUGCCUAUCAAUAGCCUCUGUGUGGUAAGUAUUCUCCAGGUGUCACAGAGAGGGAGAGCUUUACAGAAGCAUUUGAAGAGGCCUUAUGAAGUAAAAGAGAAGCUCCUUUAGAAGUGAAAUGGAGAGAGCCAACAUCAGAAGCAGAUGAAGGGUGACGGUGUUUGCUCAAACACUGCAUGAUGUUACAGGCAGCAAGAGGAGUUGGCACCAUAAUAACAAGCAGUGCCUUAAUGAAAAUAAAAUGGGGAAGCAUAAGCCACAGGUGAAGGCAAUGAGCUUAUGCUUGCUGUGGUAGAGAAAGAUUAUACACUGAGCAGUCCCAAAAUUUCUGGUAAUAAUCUGAAUGUGUGUAAGUGUUUGCCUCUGCUGAAAGUGAGGUGAGGUUUGUAGAAAUACAAGAAGCAGGCAAACCCCUUCUUAGGGAGUUUUGACAAAACAUACAGAUAAUGAGGAUUUGGUAACUAAGUCGUGCAGUUUUUAGUUUAAAAAUCUUGGCUGAGCAGAAGUAUGUGGAUGGGUGAUAAUUCUGAUGAGUAUCAGUUUUCCAUUACAAGUUGGGGAUAUAACUUUCCAUUUAUUUUAACUAGCAUGAAAUUCAUUUUAAAGUCAAUCUUCUCACAUCUGUUUCACUUUAAUGUUAUUACACUCUGCAAGGAGACUGUGGUCUAGAGAGUUAAUCAGCAGCAAAAACUGUAAUGGGCAGAGGAGGAGAAUCUAUAUGGUUAUUGAAUCCCCACCAUUGUUUUUCUCUCUUAAGACCUUACACAAAGGCCUGAGAAGUGAAAAAAACCCUUCCACUACCUUGCUUUGAGCUUUGGGUUUGUCUCCUGUACCUUAUUAAUUGUACCAGCAAGCAGACCAAAUAAAUUAAUAGGGACGAAUAUUGCAUUGGUAUCAGAUAAUCUAUAAAAUUGCUGAAGAUGCCAUUGAAGAUGCACUCUGUAGUACGUUUAAUUCAAAAAGUCAUUCAAAAUGAGAAGUGCAGAUAUGCUAGGAUAAUAAAUAAACCAAUAUGCUACUGUUGAUUUGAUGACACCUCUGAAAGUAUUGGUCUGAUAUAAAUACUUCCAGGUGCUACUGAUGUACUGGUCUGCACUGCUUGCAUUACGUGUUUUACUGUGUUACAGUUCAAGCAGCCUGCUAGAGAGUUGUGAGGCAGGAAUGAACAGAAGCAGAACUCUUUCCCAAAAACCUUCAGCUCACAUCAUGAUUAACUCAGUUCUUGUUUUUCCAAUUACCCUCCCAAAUUUAUACUUUUUCCAACCAACAUCUUAAAAAGACUACAAUAACAUGGUUUUUAAUUUCUAUCUUCUUUCUAUUUUUUUUUUUUUGUCAGGGAAAUUAGCAUAUUUUGUUAAUAUGCAUGCUGUAUCUUCCAUCUUCUGUCUUUCCUUUGUCACAGUACUGCUCCACUGAGAGAGACCCCAGUGAGCCUCUUUUCAACUGUGUGAAGAUGCAACUUGCCUGAACCUGGGAGCGUCAUGACUGACAGUGAGUGAAAAAGGAUGGGUUACUAGACAGCCUUAGGACAUGUCUUCACUAAGCUAAAGGUCAAAUUUCGAUCAGGCUUAAUGGAAAAAAAAGAUAAAUCCCUCUAUAGAUAUGCCUGUUUAUCUAUGGGUUGCCUUUGAGGACACUUUCUGCCUGUAACCUCCUGAGAAUGACACUAGACUUACAGAAAUCCUUAGGGCAGUAGCAUAGUCAGAAUAACCAUCAGGAGAUAUGAUUCUGUGAAAAUACUACUGCAGAAGCCUAUUCUGAGAAAGUGCAAAGGGAUGUCUGAUGAACUCAAACUAUUUCUGUCUUCCCUCUCCUUGUUAACUAUUCACUGCGUUGCUAGCAUGUGGAAGUGAUUCCAGCAGCAAGCUGAAAACCUACAGACAGCUUUAAAACUAUUAGAAAUAUGCAGAGGCUUUGAAAUCUAAGAAGGAUGGUUAUGAGUAUUGACUUCAAUCUCCUGUAUCACCCACAAAAAAGAUCCCCCAUUACUUCAGCUGCCACUAUACUUCCCCUCAGUUACCAAUGUGACUGAGUCCUGCCUAACACAGUGGAGGUAAGUAAGAAUACAUGAACAGAAGACACAGGAUAGGACCACAUGGGGUGCAAAACAGAAGACGGAAGACUGCAUUAAAAACAUGUCCUCAAUAUUGUUUGGUCCUAGUGUUUCCUUCCAGCUUCAAGGGCACAAAAAUAAUGUACACUUAAUGCACUCUGAACGGCAACAAGGCAUACUUGGCAAUCCCAAUGCUGUAUUCACCAUGGGUUUUGGCAAUAUAUGUAACGUAGUUUUCCUAAUAGUUAUUAUGGCUCUGAGAGGUAUAAAAUGCCUGAUAUUCCAGUGCAAUAUCAAGUUUAAGACUAAAGUGAAACCUUAAAAAUUCCGUUAUUAUUAGUUAUUACAAUGUUAAUAAUUUUAGCAGAAAUAUCCAGCUAUUUGGGAGUUGUGAAUGGAAUUUUAGAACAGUAUCACUGUGUGUUGUUAGAUCAGACUUCAUACCUACAGUUUACUAGGAAUAAAAAAAAACUGCCUUGUGAUUGAAUACUAUUCUGAAUUCUGGUGAAGUAAACGGUUCUUUUAAGGUGUGUGUUUCCCCUCAGAUCUGUAUUCAUCUUACAAGUUAUGCUGCUAUAGCUGAAAAAUGAGUCUUGUACUCUCCUGAGUAUAUUUGCAAUGGCAUUAAAUGAUUUGUGGUCAUCUUCAGUUAACAUUGACAAUAAUUCUAUAAUAUCUUUGAAGUAAGGCCAACACCACCCUUUUUAACUUUUUUUGGUUUUUAAAUGCAAUUUCUGUUAUUGCAUGUUUUCCUACUUUGCUGAUACUUCUGGAGGGAGACUACUUCAAUAUUCUGUUUGGAAGUACCCCAGUUUUAUGUCACCUUUUCUCCCGUAACAUAUUGCUGUUAUUUCCUCAGAUUUCUCGGAGUUUUUAAUACGUGCAUUUCACUGCCACUCACCCUCUACUGGUUUGAAUGGUAAGAAUAGGCACCAUGUCCCUCACCAGUUCAUCUUUUUCUGGAAUCUCUCUUCUUUCUCUUGGGUCAAUCAUGCUAAAGGUAGAUAAAAUCUAUUUUAUCUAACAUGUCAAUGUCACUCUAUUAACUUUCCUCUGUGGUACACUGUUUCCAUUAUAGGAAUUUAGAAGCUUGGGAAGGAAAUGAAUAUGCAACUUUAGCCAGGCAAAUUUGAGUUUUCUUCCAAAGCUUCUCAGGAUCUCUGGUCAUACACUUCUUUUCUCCUCACAUCAGAAUGUCAUUUAUUCAUAUCAUAGUCUGCUGCAUUGCCAUCUAUAGUUCACUAGUUUUCCAGUAAAGUUGCUGAUGGGAAUGCCAGUUGGAGGAAACUGUUUCCUUCAAUGUAAUAUGCUCACAAAAAUGAUGUGGCAUUGGUUUUAUUUCCUUAACAGUACCUGCUUGCAACCUGCCAACACACUGUGUGUAUAAAAAUAUUUGCCAUCUAACACAUCUCCAGAAGUACCUCUUCUUAUGAAAAUUUUCCUUGAGGAAAAUGUUCACUUCACAUAUAUAUAUGUAUAUAAUCUCCAUGGUGCUACACAGCAGGCAAGAAUUGUAGGUUUUGCUCUUUUAGCAAUGAUGAGUGAACUGACUCUUCUUUUCUACUAAACACACAAUUUUACAACAAUGAGCCUGUCUGGCUUCAUUUUCUGCUGCUAUUCAGGGGGGAGAGAAAAAUUAUAUAAGUCAAGAACGGUGUGGUGACUGGGCUAUUAACUCACUUCCAUUCUGCACAGUUAAAAGAGCUUCUCUCCUGUGGAUCAUAUGCUUAGACAGAACCACAUUUAUUGUUGCUUGUUGCCUCACUAAAGAAAGAAUUAUAGAAACAUAGAACAGCCUGCAUUGAAAAGGUUAUCUAGCUCCAACCUCCCUGCCAUGGCCAAGGACAGCUUUCACAUGAUUUGCCCGCAAGCUUGACAUAGUUUUAACUCAGAAAUGGGACUUUACCUCUUUGAGCUAUUACAAAGUGCGUUUUUGCAUGUCUACUAUUUACCCAUAUAUCUAGUUCCUAAACUCAUAUUGUGAAAAUCAGGUCACAAUUAGAUGCCUCAAUUUUCACAUCCCUCCCUCUUUUUGUAAUCCGUAAGUUCUUGUGUUGGUGACAUUGCACUCAUUGCUAAGAUCCCCAUUUCUGGCACCAUAGUACCUCGUACACCCAUACCCAAUUCAAAAUUAAUACCUCUUCAACCUGUACUGUGAUGGUCCAUUGGUUCAUGCAGAAUUCUCCUGAAUUCUAGCAAUUCAGGAGAGCUAGCAAUGCUGUUUUCAUCCUUUUUUGUCCUCACUGUGUGCACUCUUAAAAAAAUGAUGUGAUGUAUUGCAGUUCUUGCAUAUUUUUCAAGUCCUCAGAGCCAGGAUCUCUAAGAUCUGUUUCAUUCAGUGUUUUACUCUAACUGGUCAGCACUGUGUCACAGGCACCUCUGAACAGCACAAUAACCAACCCCACUGGUCCACAAAACAAAAGGCCUUCUGUGGCAACAAGCUGCCACAGAAGAGACACUACCAUGGAGACCAUUCGUGAUCCUGUAAGAAAGAUCCAUUGUAUUUCACAUCCCUUUGUUCUGAAAGCACUAGGAAUUAUCUCACGUCCAUUCAUCAUGAGCCAAUGAGUUAUCCCAAGUUUAGAGUUUGGGAACUGCAAAAGUGUUAAAACUCACAAAAAAUAGGCCUGCAACAAGAAAAGUAGAAAGGAAGUGAAACCUAUAUCAGCUGAGCUGGAAGUGUACCCAGAGGUACUCAAGCUCCAGCUUGAGACUUAAAGUGUGAAGGAAAGGAAGUUACUUGCACUAUCCAAGUAAUCAGUAGCUUUAUGAUAAAGCAUGUGUACAUGUAUACAUAAGCAGAAGGACUGAAGAGAAGAAAAGAAGAGAUUAAAGCUGACUUCUUGUGGGGUAUGCCUGAGGACUAUGCAUUGAACUUUUAAUUUUGUUGUAGGCAUUUGCAUUCUUUUUGACACCUAUGAACCUUGUUUCAGUUUUCCUGAGUUGCACCUGCCUGUUUUCCCUUAAGUCAGAUGUGAAAGAAUAUGUUGUGGGUAGGUAUAUCUGCCUGCUGAGGCACAAUGGACUACAGGGAAUACAAUUUGGAGACUGCAGACAAGGCACAUUGUUGCUAUGAUCAAACAUUUUUCUUGUGCAUGCAAGACCCACAUGAGAGCAGAGUGUGUUCCUCCAGCAUUGUAAAGCCAAAUGACAUUCCAGAAGCAGCUGCCCAGCCAAUACGUCCACGCUCAGUGUAGGUUCUCCACUCGGGAAAUUUGAAGCUCCUAUCUCAAAUUUCUACCUGACAAAAAAAUCUAGGACAAUCUUAUUUGGGAACUUUGGAGCUCAUUUUGAGGGUUAUUCACCCUAAGAUAAGAUUACAACAGAUCUGUGAUUGAACUCAAACCCAAGGUACAUCUGGUGGUAAAAAUUUCCAUUUUUUUCUUCUUUAUUUUCUUUGCAGAUAUGCAGGAAGAAUUUUUACUUAAGUUAGUACAUUCUUGAUGUUAAUGCAGCUUUUGUUUUACUUUUUUUUUUUUUUUUAAAUUUAGGUAUCAGUCUUUCAAAGCUCACUUCCAAGUGAACAUCUCUCAGUUGGUAAAUGAUGUGAAACUUAUUUUUGGAACAUGUAGGAAUAGCAAAAGGGCUCACUAAUCUUCUAAUAAGAUAAAGUUACUUCUGAAGGAUAAAAUUAGCAUGCUGGAAAUUUUCCAACAAUUAUAUUUUUACAGCCCUACCAUGUAUAUUAUAUACUGUGUUUCUAAAGAAUUAGUACUCCAAAACGUAUGUUCCUCAUGUCUUCUGCAAACUUUAUUUUGAGGAAAAUUUUAAUGUGAUAAUUUAAAAAAAUAUUUAUUUAUGAAGAAUUAUCCAAACUGUAUAAUCUUAUUAUUAUGAGAAAUAAAAUAUUAGUAAUGAAAUAUGCAUCCUGAUUUUGGCUAAGACAGAGUUAAUUUUCUUCCUAGUAGCUGGUACAGUGCCGUGUUUUGGAUUUAGUAGGAGAAUCACGUUGAUAACACACUGAUGUUUCAGUUCUUGCUCAGUAGUGUUUACCCUACAUCAAGGACUUUUUCUCAUGCUCUACCAAUGAGGAGACACAGAAGAAGCUGGGAGGGAGCAAGGCCAGGACAGCUGACCUGAACUGGCCAAAGGGAUAUUCCAUACCAUAGAAUAUCAUGCCCAGUAUAUAAACUAGAGCAGUUGGCCAGGAGGCGCAGAUGACUGGUCGGGGCUGGGCUGCAUUGGGCUUUGGUCAGCAGGUGGUGAGCAACUGUGUUGUGCAUCACUUUGUCUUUAUGGAGGCUUAUUCCUCCUUUUUUU